UCAUGGGACCGUGUAAAGCAUGUA
rnacentral:piRNA from 1 species